AAGGCUUGACCUCAAAUCAG
rnacentral:rRNA from 1 species